AAAAAGGUAAAUUUUCAUGUUUUAUGAAUAAAUAAGUUUUAAUGAAAUUAAUUUAUAAAUUGUUUUGGAAUUAAUAAUGAUUUUGAAGAAUAGAGUACACGGAGAUUGUUAAUUGUGACAAUUUGAUUGUUUAAAUUGACUGGCUUAUGAUAAAUCGAGCAUGAUUGGCUAGUUGGCAAUUGUAUUGAAAUGCGAAUUGUUUGGUUGCCUUGAAAAACUGCGAAUUACAAAAUUGUCAUAUCAUGUUAUUGAGUUUUAUUAUAUGGUGGAUUAUAUAUUAAUUAAUCACUGCAGUAGGGGGUUUCUGUGGACCAGCCUUUUAGAGGGGCACGGUAAACCCCAUUAUAUUCUUACCUCGAACGGAGAGGCGCGUAGGGUAUCUCCUGAGGUAAAAUUUUGGGUUCACUUCACGCUAAACCACCACGUGAGGGGGAACUCAGCCAACGCCAAGGAACGGCUAUGUUUUCAAAACAAAAACAUGAUUUAUGUGAAAUGUGAAUUUUAAUAGCCUUGGCGGUCUCGGUAGGAUGCCUUGGCCAAGGUGUCCCCAAGAAUGGAUUUAUGGCACAAGCCUAGAUUUUUAUGAGAUUCAUAAGCCUUUUUACGUAUUUUGAAAGAGAUUGUUCUAAUUGUAUAACCUAGUUUAUGAUGGUUUACUUUAUUGUCUCCAUGUACGCAGUUCUAGAUGUUUAUGAUGAUGUUUGUUUACUCAUUGGGAUUUUAUAAUCUCACCACCCUCCUUUCCACCCAUUUCAGGUUCAGUAUAGACUGUAGAUAGCUGAUCUCAUCGAGGACUACAGUGGGAUCUGCAUUUUCCAAACCGUAGGUUCACAGUCCUCUUUACUUUUGUUUAUUCGGGGGCACUCUUGUUAUUGUAAAUUAAAUUAAAUAUUUUGGCUUACUGUAUUUAAGUAUGUAUUAAUUUAUUUAGCUUUUACGCUAUAAAAAUUAUGCACGUAUAACUCUAUAAAUAUUGUUUUAUAAGAAAAUAGAAUAUUUUACUUAAUAUUUCUUUUAUUUUUUUAUUAUAUUCAAAUAACCAUAAUUUUGUUUUAAAGGAAGAUUUUAGACUUUUAAACUCAUUUUGAGUAUGAAUUAUGUAUUUUGUACUUGGAUAUUACGUUUUAUCUAGUUUCAAAAAUUUUGAGAAAAAUGACCAAAAUACCCUUGUGAGACGAAAAAUAAUAUUUUAUUUGUUUAAAGCUGGAAACAACUUAAAAUCUUUUAGAACACGAUAUUUGACAAUGGUUGCUCACAAGGAAACAGAGAAACUGAUAGUAAAGCCUUGCGAGGUUUCAGGUUGACAUCCCGGGCAAUAAGUGUCUACCGGGACACCGCGGCGGUUGUCACGGGCUCGAGGGGAGUACCGGGUCGUGACAAUUCGAUUGGUAUCAGAGCUUUUGGCUUUAAAGAUCAAAGUUUUUAGUUUUAAAGUUGUUUUUAAAAUUUACAAUAUCAAUGUGGCCUCGAAUUAAGUUAAGUUAGGUUAGGUUGAAUAGAUUGCAUGCAUCUGCAUAUAGAGCCUAAGGUUACCUAAACUUUCUCGUAUUUUUUUUAUAUAGAUUACAAUGCCUCCUCAACGCGAACGCCCACCUUUCACUAGAUCGGUUGGGAGGGGAAGAGGUCGUUCCCAACGUCAUCAGCCAGAUACAGUAGAGGAGGAAUCAGCUGCAUCUACCAUUCGAGCAGCACCUGCUGUUGAGCAGACCAAUAGUCCUCCACAUCUUCCAUCUCCUCAGCCACCUACGGGUAUUCCCGCCAUGCCUACUGAGGCAGCACAAGCAUUGGCAGCUUUCUUUGCAGCAAUGGCUGGUCAAGCUCAGACUGGUCAAGUUCCAUUUGUAAUGCCUCUAGCUACUCCUUUAGUUCCACCACCAGUACAGGAUGUAUCCAUUUCCAAGAAGUUGAAGGAGGCUAGGCAAUUGGGUUGUGUAUCUUUCACGGGUGAGUUGGAUGCCACUGUGGCCAAGGACUGGAUUAAUCAAGUUUCAAAGACUCUCUCUGAUAUGGGAUUAGACGACGACAUGAAGCUGAUGGUGGCUACGAGAUUAUUAGAGAAGAGGGCUCGUACUUGAUGGAAUUCGCUGAAGUCCCGUUCCGCUACUCCUCAAACAUGGUCUGAUUUUUUCAGGGAAUUCGAUGGUCAGUAUUUCACUUAUUUCCAUCAGAAAGAAAAGAAGAGAGAAUUUUUGAGUUUGAAACAGGAAAAUCUAACUGUAGAGGAGUACGAGACUCGUUUUAACGAGUUGAUGUUAUAUGUGCCGGAUCUGGUGAAAUCUGAGCAGGAUCAGGCUAGCUAUUUCGAGGAAGGGCUCCGUCAUGAGAUUAGAGAGCGAAUGACAGUGACUGGUAGGGAGCCACAUAAGGAGGUGGUACAGAUGGCUUUACGGGCUGAGAAGCUCACGACUGAGAAUAGGAGGAUUCAGAAUGAGUUUGCAAAAAGGAGGAAUCUUGGUAUGUCUUCUAGUCAGCCAAUAAAAAGAGGCAAGGACUCAACGACUUCAGGGAGCACUACUUCUGUUUCCGUGACAUCUCCUCGACUUCCAUUUCCACCAUCACAGCAGAGACCUUCGAGGUUUAGCAGAUCUGCUAUGACUGGUUCUGGGAAGAGUCUCGGAGGUUCUGACAGAUGCAGAAAUUGUGGGAAUUAUCAUAGUGGGCUAUGUAGAGGGCCAACAAGAUGUUUCCAAUGUGGACAGACGGGUCACAUUAGGAGUAAUUGCCCACAGUUAGGACGAGCCACUGUAGCUGCAUCAUCUCCACCAGCUCGCACAGAUAUACAGAGGAGAGAUUCUUCUGGGUUACCACCGAGACAGGGAGUAGCCAUACGGUCUGGUGUGGAGAGUAAUACCCCGUCACAUCCACCUUCGAGACCACAGACUCGUACCGCGACAAGAGUUUUUGCUGUGACAGAAGAUGAGGCACGAGUCCGACCUGGAGCAGUGACAGGUACUAUGUCUUUAUUUGAUAAAGAUGCUUAUGUUUUGAUAGAUUCUGGCUCAGAUAGAUCUUAUGUGAGUACGACAUUUGCAUCAAUUACUGAUAGAAACCUGUCACCAUUAGAGGAAGAAAUUGUAGUGCAUACCCCUCUAGGAGAACAGUUGAUUAGAAAUACUUGUUAUAGAGACUGUGGGGUAAGGGUAGGUGAGGAAGAAUUUAGGGGUGACUUAAUUCCUCUAGAGAUCUUGGAUUUUGAUUUAAUAUUAGGUAUGGACUGGUUAACUGCACAUCGGGCGAACGUGGAUUGUUUCCGAAAAGAAGUUGUUCUUCGGAAUUCGGAGGGAGCAGAGAUUGUGUUUGUAGGGGAACGUCGAGUAUUACCAUCUUGUGUAAUCUCGGCCAUCAAAGCUUCAAAAUUAGUGCAAAAAGGGUAUCCGACUUAUUUGGCAUACGUGAUCGAUACUUCAAAGGGGGAACCUAAGUUAGAGGAUGUCCCAAUAGUAAGUGAGUUUCCUGAUGUAUUUCCUGAUGAUUUACCGGGAAUACCUCCUAAUCGAGAGCUUGAGUUCCCUAUUGAUUUACUUCCGGGUACCGCACCUAUUUCUAUUCCUCCAUAUAGAAUGGCUCCAGCAGAGUUGAAGGAACUGAAAGCCCAGUUGCAAGAUUUGGUGGAUAAAGGUUUCAUUCGCCCUAGCAUUUCUCCUUGGGGAGCACCAGUCCUAUUUGUAAAGAAGAAAGAUGGCACUCUUCGAUUGUGUAUUGAUUACCGUCAGCUGAACCGAGUGACCAUCAAGAAUAAAUACCCUUUACCCCGGAUAGAUGAUCUUUUUGAUCAAUUACGAGGUGCUAUGGUAUUCUCUAAGAUUGAUUUGAGAUCUGGGUACUAUCAGUUGAGGAUUAAGGAGCAGGAUGUACCUAAGACUGCCUUCAGGACGCGUUAUGGGCAUUAUGAGUUUCUGGUGAUGCCGUUUGGUUUGACUAAUGCCCCGGCAGUUUUUAUGGAUCUUAUGAACAGGGUGUUCCAUCCAUACUUGGAUAAGUUUGUGAUAGUAUUCAUCGAUGACAUCCUGGUUUAUUCGAAGAAUGAUGAUGAACAUGCUGCCCAUUUGCGCAUUGUGUUGCAAACUUUGCGCGAGAGACAACUCUAUGCCAAGUUCUCUAAAUGUGAAUUCUGGUUGAAGGAAGUGGUUUUCUUGGGACAUGUGGUGUCCGGAGCUGGAAUUUAUGUCGAUCCCAAGAAGAUUGAGGCAAUCUUGCAAUGGGAGCAACCGAGAACGGUAACUGAGAUUCGUAGUUUCCUUGGCUUAGCCGGUUAUUACCGGAGAUUUGUUCAGGGAUUUUCUUUGAUAGCAGCUCCUCUGACUCGUUUGACUCGUAAAGGAGUUAAGUAUGAGUGGGAUGAUGUUUGUGAGAAUCGAUUUCAGGAGCUAAAGAACCGGUUAACCUCCGCUCCCGUUUUAACACUUCCUGUUAGUGGAAAAGAAUUUGUGGUAUAUAGCGAUGCAUCUAAGUUGGGAUUAGGGUGUGUGUUGAUGCAGGACGAGAAAGUAAUAGCUUAUGCUUCCCGACAGUUGAAGAAGCACGAGACGAAUUACCCUACUCAUGACUUGGAGUUAGCAGCAGUAGUAUUCGCAUUGAAGAUUUGGAGACAUUAUUUAUAUGGUGAGCGUUGUCGGAUUUUUUCUGAUCAUAAAAGUUUGAAGUAUUUGCUCACCCAGAAAGAGCUUAACUUGAGACAGAGACGAUGGUUGGAGUUGAUUAAGGAUUAUGACUUAGUGAUUGAUUAUCAUCCGGGAAAAGCAAAUGUUGUAGCGGAUGCCUUAAGUCGUAAAUCCUCAUCGUCGUUAGCAACACUUCAAAGUUCUUAUUUUCCGAUGUUACUUGAGAUGAAAUCUCUAGGGAUCCAGUUGAAUAAUGGUGAGGAUGGAACCCUACUUGCUAGUUUCGUCGUGAGACCUUCAUUGUUGAAUCAGAUAAGAGAAUUGCAGAAAUCUGAUGAUUGGUUGAAACAGGAAGUUCAAAAGCUGCAAGAUGGAGAAGCUAGUGAGUUUAGACUCAGCGAUGAUGGUACUUUCAUGCUUAGAGACCGAAUUUGUGUUCCUAAGGAUGAUCAGUUGAGACGAGCUAUUUUGGAGGAAGCUCAUUCUUCCGCCUACGCUUUACAUCCCGGAAGCACCAAGAUGUAUCGGACUAUUAAAGAAAGUUAUUGGUGGCCGGGUAUGAAACGAGACAUAGCAGAGUUUGUAGCGAAAUGUCUCACAUGCCAACAGAUCAAGGCGGAGCAUCAAAAACCGUCAGGUACUCUUCAACCUUUACCGAUUCCUGAAUGGAAGUGGGAACAUGUGACUAUGGACUUUGUAUUGGGUUUGCCGCGGACACAAAGUGGGAAGGAUGCUAUUUGGGUGAUUGUGGAUAGAUUGACUAAGUCCGCCCAUUUCUUGGCUAUCCAUAGCACGUAUUCUAUUGAGAGGCUGGCAAGACUUUAUAUAGAUGAGAUUGUGAGAUUACACGGAGUCCCAGUUUCUAUUGUGUCAGAUCGAGACCCUCGAUUUACUUCUCGAUUUUGGCCGAAAUUUCAGGAAGCUCUUGGAACUAAAUUGAGAUUUAGUACUGCCUUUCAUCCACAGACAGAUGGUCAAUCUGAGAGAACUAUUCAGACCUUGGAGGAUAUGUUACGGGCUUGUGUCAUUGACUUUAUCGGGAGUUGGGACAGACACUUGCCAUUGGUGGAGUUUGCUUAUAAUAACAGUUUUCAGUCUAGUAUUGGGAUGGCACCAUACGAGGCUUUGUAUGGAAGGAAAUGCCGAACUCCGCUCUGUUGGGAUGAAGUAGGUGAGAGGAAAUUGGUGAAUGUGGAAUUGAUUGAUUUGACAAACGAUAAGGUCAAAGUUAUCCGAGAGCGAUUAAAGACAGCUCAAGAUAGGCAGAAGAAUUAUUCGGAUAAACGAAGGAAAGAUUUGGAGUUUGAAGUCGACGAUAAAGUUUUUCUUAAGGUUUCUCCUUGGAAAGGUAAUAAUUUGAAAUUUCCAAGUAUUAAAUCUUAUUUGAUUAUACUAUUGUGAUAAUUUGUGGUAUUUAUUGGAUGAUGAAAGGUGUGAUUCGAUUCGCGAAGAGGGGAAAGCUCAAUCCAAGAUACAUUGGACCUUUUCGUAUCAUUGAAAGGAUUGGGCCAGUGGCUUACAGACUUGAAUUACCCCCAGAGUUAGAUCGAAUUCAUAAUGUCUUCCAUGUCUCGAUGUUGAAAAAGUAUGUUCCCGAUCCCUCUCACAUUUUAGAGACACCUCCCAUUGAGUUGCAUGAGGAUUUGAAGUUCGAGGUGCAGCCUGUACGUAUUCUAGAUCGAAAGGAUCGAGUGCUAAGGAACAAGAGCAUUCCAAUGGUGAAAGUAUUGUGGAAGAAUGCUCGAAUGGAGGAGAUGACGUGGGAAGUCGAGAGCCAGAUGAGAAACCAAUAUCCACAUCUUUUAUUCGAAUCAGGUAAGUGAAAUUUUGAGGUCAAAAUUUUAUUUUAAGGGGGGUAGUGCUGUAAAGCCCGACCUUAUAAAAUACUAUUCAUGACAUACAUGUGAUGAUAGCAUGAUUGCAUGCUAGGAGAGUCCCGAAAAAUUUACAAAAGUCGGUAUUGUACCUAGAGGUACAACAAAGUUUAUUUAAUCCUCGAACUAGAUCAAAUAGGAAUUUUAAGGUGAGAUUAAGAGUUUCACAGUUCAUGGAUGACUUAAAAUGGUAAUUUGGAGUUUGAGGAUCAAUUUGGAGUCAAAUCGGAAUUUUCACUAACUAGGGGCAAAAUGGUCAUUUGCCACCUGGGGACAAAAUGGGAAUUUUAGAAAAGAUUUUUUUGACCCCAUUUGACUUAUUAGAGUAUAAUUUGACUUAUUGAAGUAUGAUUUGAGGUUUAGAAGUGAAAAAUUUUAAUUUCGGUAUAAUUUGGAGUAUAGGGGUAAAAUGGUAAUUUUGCCACCUCAGGGGCAAAAUUGUAAUUUUCCACCACCAGGAUAUUUUUUCCAGCACAUGGUCUUCCUUUGUCUUCAUCUUUGACCCUUGACUAAACAUGUGGUGGAGAUAAAAUGUUUAAAUUUUUAAAAUUUUAAAAACGGGCCAAUGACAUGAUGCCAUGUGUCAUGCCUUUAUUAAUUUAUUAUUUUCCUUUUUAAAAGGCACAAAAUCAGCCCAUCUUCCACCCCAUGGCCGGCCAAACCAGCAAGAAGAGAGAGAAAAAAAAAACAAAACCCUAGAGAGAGAAAAUCAAAGAAAAAGUGUGAAUUUUCAAGGAAAUUAAGUGAAAAAGGUGAGAUUUUUUCUAUUAAGCUUGAGUUUUCUUAUUCCCAAGCAUUUCUCUUUAUUUUCCAUGAUUAAAUUACAUGUUUUCAUGAUGAAUUCAAUUCUGAAAAAAUGGGUUAGGAGAGAGAAAGUUGUUGGAUUUAUUUGAUUUUAAUUUAUGUUAGUGUUUUUAGUUAGUUUAGCAUAUUUAGAAACAAAACAACAAGAAAAGAAUUUAUUUUCUCCCCCAACCAUUAAUGGCUGAAUUUACCAUGUAGUGAGUGAGGAUGAGUUUGAUUUUAUUCUAGGAGAAUUGGUUAAGGAAUGAUGAAUUAUGAGCCUAGAAAAAUAAUGGGAAUUUUCGGAGCAAAAAUACGAAUUUUUACCCACUAGGGGUAUUUUCGUAAUUUGCUGUUGGGACUGAUAAUUUGCACCACACUGAGGGACAUUAAGUUAAUUUGGGUGCAAUUGAGGUAUAGAAACUGAAAAGAAUUAAAUUGGAGUUUAAACGGACCCGUUAGGAAUUUAAUCGGGUGAUAAGACGAAUUAGGCCAAUACCGGGUUUAGAUAGUUACCAGUGCAUUUUUGCAUUCCAUAUCAUGCAUUGGUAGUCUAAAUUAGUUUAAUUUUGAUUUAGUACCAACUUGGUGAAACUCUCGAUUUUGUACUGUGUCAAGGUGGUGAGUCCUCCGAUAAAGGCAAGGAAAUUGCAUCCGAGGACCAGUAGACAGAGUGCUUCGAAAGUCUGCAUUCUAGACAUUGUGAGUAAACUUACUGUCAUUUUAAUUAUCUAGGGUGGUUUUUAGAUGCUUUCAUGAAUUCUAUGGAAAAAGGAAUUUAAAAAGAUAAAUUUUCAUGUUUUAUGAAUAAAUGAGUUUCAAUGAAAUUAAAUUAUAAAUUGUUUUGAAAUUAAUAGUGAUUUUGAAAAAUAGAGUACACGGAGACUGUUAAUUGUGGCAAUUUGAUUGUUUAAAUUAACUGGCUUAUGAUAAAUCGAGCAUGAUUGGCUAGUUGGCAAUUGUAUUGAAAUGCGAAUUGUUUGGUUACCUUGAAAAACUACGAAUUACAAAAUUGCCAUAUCAUGUUAUUGAGUUUUAUUAUAUGGUGGAUUAUAUAUUAAUUAAUCACUGCAGUAGGGGGUUUCUGUGGACCAGCCUUUUAGAGGGGCACGGUAAACCCCAUUAUAUUCUUACCUCGAACGGAGAGGCGCGUAGGGUAUCUCCUGGGGUAAAGUUUAGGGUUCACUUCACGCUAAACCACCACGUGAGGGGGAACUCAGCCAACGCCAAGGAACGGCUAUGUUUUCAAAACAAAAACAUGAUUUAUGUGAAAUGUGAAUUUUAAUAGCCUUGGCGGUCUCGGUAGGAUGCCUCGGCCAAGGUGUCCCCGAGAAUGGAUUUAUGGCACAAGCCUAGAUUUUUAUGAGAUUCAUAAGCCUUUUUAUGUAUUUUGAACGAGAUGUGUUCUAAUUGUAUAACCCAGUUUAUGAUGAUUUACUUUAUUGUCUCCAUGUACUCAAUUCUAGAUGUUUAUGAUGAUGUUUGUUUGCUCAUUGGGAUUUUAUAAUCUCACCACCCUCAUUUCCACCCAUUUCAG
rnacentral:lncRNA from 1 species